rnacentral:rRNA from 3 species
CUGAUGCAGCAACGCCGCGUGAGGGACGAAGGCCUUCGGGUUGUAAACCUCUUUUAGUAGGGAAGAAGCGAAAGUGACGGUACCUGCAGAAAAAGCACCGGCUAACUACGUGCCAGCAGCCGCGGUAAUACGUAGGGUGCAAGCGUUGUCCGGAAUUAUUGGGCGUAAAGAGCUCGUAGGCGGUUUGUCGCGUCUGCUGUGAAAACUGGAGGCUCAACCUCCAGCCUGCAGUGGGUACGGGCAGACUAGAGUGCGGUAGGGGAGAUUGGAAUUCCUGGUGUAGCGGUGGAAUGCGCAGAUAUCAGGAGGAACACCGAUGGCGAAGGCAGAUCUCUGGGCCGUAACUGACGCUGAGGAGCGAAAGCAUGGGGAGCGAACAGGAUUAGAUACCCUGGUAGUCCAUGCCGUAAACGUUGGGAACUAGAUGUAGGGGCCAUUCCACGGUUUCUGUGUCGCAGCUAACGCAUUAAGUUCCCCGCCUGGGGAGUACGGCCGCAAGGCUAAAACUCAAAGGAAUUGACGGGGGCCCGCACAAGCGGCGGAGCAUGCGGAUUAAUUCGAUGCAACGCGAAGAACCUUACCAAGGCUUGACAUAUACCGGAAACGGCUAGAGAUAGUCGCCCCGCAAGGUCGGUAU